UACAGAGGUCCCGAGCGUUGUUCGGAUUCAUUGGGCGUAAAGGGUGCGUAGGUGGCGCCGUAAGUCGGGUGUGAAAUUUCGGAGCUUAACUCCGAAACUGCAUUCGAUACUGCGGUGCUUGAGGACUGGAGAGGAGACUGGAAUUCAUGGUGUAGCAGUGAAAUGCGUAGAGAUCAUGAGGAAGACCAGUGGCGAAGGCGGGUCUCGUGGACAGUUCCUGACACUGAGGCACGAAGGCCAGGGGAGCAAACGGG
rnacentral:rRNA from 1 species